CAGAUACGAGUGAUCUAUUUUGACUCUCAGCCAUGAAAGAUGAGGAACUCAACAUAUACACUAAUACUAUUUCCCUCUCAGCUUUAAUUGUUUCAUUGGAGGAGUUGGUCCGAAUAACCUCAGAAGCCAAUAUGGAACAUAGAAGUUGGUGAAUCUGUGACAACCUUUAACAUUCUCCCCAUUUAUGGAUGUGAAACCAAAGGUCUAGAAGGAUCAAGGCAUCUGAACAAGAUCACACAGCAUAAACAUUGGUGAAAUCACCUCUUAGGACCUCAUCUGCAAAAUGAAAAAGAUGAAAGAGAACUCAGCAUUCAUUUAGCCCAGUC